rnacentral:lncRNA from 1 species
GUGUGAGCAUUAUUCAUUUCUUUUGCAAUAUGUAGGAGUAUGUGUGUUUAGCAUUUUUAUAAUCAUUUUAAGAAUAAUGGAAAUUUGUUAUUAUUCUUUUUUCUCUCUCUUAUUUGUUUUGUUCAUCUUUAUUACCUUAUGCACCAAUAUUUAUCAAUUUGCAUGCUCCUUAAAUUUCAUUAAAAAAAUUAUUACAUAUUAAAUGAAAUAUUCCGUUUUUUUAUUUUUGGCAUUAGCUUUUGCAAUGAAUUAAAAGACAAGUAGUAGUAUUGUUUCUA